GUCUUCUUUCGCUGGAGAUGUCUUUCUUAAAUGGUCAAUGACGCUCUUCCCGGUUAAAUUAGGUGAAUUGAUUUGAUCAAAUCAGAGAUACAGCACUGCAAUAACUUGGUUGAAACAAACAUGUUUUCCAUUUUGAUAAUCAAUCUGGUUAAAUUAGGAUCAGCUUAGGUGAAUUGAAUUGAUCAAAAGCAAGGACUUAAAACAAUAUUAUUUGUUAUGAACUUCAGCUGCUAACCCAAAGUCUUCGUGUUUAGCUUAACUACUCUUAAGAGCACCAAUCAAUAUCAUAAUGAGACCUGGCAUAGAAUGAUUCCCACUCUCAAAAGUCAAAACAACCCUAUUCUAUUAUCAUUAUUAUUAUUAAUCUUUGUGGGGGUCCAUUAUUUGAUAGCUUAAAGGCCCUGGUCCAAGGGAUCCAAGGCAACCUUGCAGUGCUUGUUUAUGAAGAGACCAUAAUAAGACUACUACUAUGCUAGAUUUCAACCAAAUACGAGUUAAAAAGCGAAAGGCUUUGCUUUGAAAGGGGAGGGCUCCGAAAGCGGCUGCUAGCAACUAUUCUGGUAUUAAUAAUCAUUACGCCAUUGCCAUCCAAGCUCUAGCUUAAGGCCCUCUAAACGUGAAUUGGGCUCCAACAAGUCCAGUUCUAUGUAUGCAGGCCAUUUUAUUGUGAGAAGAAGCGGAUUU
rnacentral:misc_RNA from 1 species